CUAGAUAGAGAGCACGUACAUUACAGCUAGAACAUUACAGUACAUUACUAUACUUGCUAGGUAGAGAGCACGUACAUUACAGCUAGAACAUUACAGUACAUUACUAUACUUGCUAGGUAGAGAGCACGUACAUUACAGCUAGAACAGUUCAUUACAUUACAUAUACAUGAAUACGUUAAUUAUUGUGAUAUGAAUCGGAGCAUGACUUAAAUGUCAUGGCCCGUGUUGUAGCCAGAGUCUCUUGAAGGGAGAGCGUGAGUUUGCGUAUAGAUCUAUACUGGAUUGACUAUCCUACACCUUGCUGCUAGCUACAGCCGGACCUGCAGGUCUGCGGGUGCCAAACGUCAUUUCUUUUUACGACCAUACUUAUGUCGUUGUUACCAGUCAAUAGUAUGGUGCAAUUAAUCACA
rnacentral:lncRNA from 1 species